rnacentral:rRNA from 1 species
CGGUAGCCGCGGGAAUACGAAGGGUGCAAGCGUUAAUCGGAAUUACUGGGCGUAAAGCGCGCGUAGGUGGUUUGGUAAGAUGGAUGUGAAAUCCCCGGGCUCAACCUGGGAACUGCAUCCAUAACUGCCUGACUAGAGUACGGUAGAGGGUGGUGGAAUUUCCUGUGUAGCGGUGAAAUGCGUAGAUAUAGGAAGGAACACCAGUGGCGAAGGCGACCACCUGGACUGAUACUGACACUGAGGUGCGAAAGCGUGGGGAGCAAACAGGAUUAGAUACCCCUGUAGUCCCUGUCUCUUAUAC